rnacentral:rRNA from 1 species
CACGUAGGGCGCAAGCGUUGCUCGGAAUCACUGGGCGUCAAGGGCGCGUAGGCGGGGAGGUAAGUCGGGUGUGAAAUCCCUCGGCCCAACCGAGGAACUGCGCCCGAGACUGCUUCUCUUGAGUCCCGGAGAGGAAGGUGGAAUUCCCGGUGUAGCGGUGAAAUGUGUAGAGAUCGGGAGGAACACCGGUGGCGAAGGCGGCCUUCUGGACGGUGACUGACGCUGAGGCGCGAAAGCGUGGGGAGCAAACGGG